UACGGGGGGUGCGAGCGUUGUUCGGAAUUACUGGGCGUAAAGGGCGCGUAGGCGGUUUGCUAAGUUGGAUGUGAAAACUCUGGGCUUAACCCAGAGCCUGCAUCCAAAACUGGCAAACUUGAGUACUGGAGGGGAAAGCGGAAUUCCUGGUGUAGCGGUGGAAUGCGUAGAGAUCCGGAAGAACACCGGUGGCGAAGGCGGCCUGCUGGGCAGUUGCUGACACUGAGGCGCGACAGCGUGGGGAGCAAACAGG
rnacentral:rRNA from 1 species